GCUGUAGCGCAGCCUGGUAGCGCACCUGCUUCGGGAGCAGGGGGUCGGAGGUUCGAAUC
rnacentral:tRNA from 1 species